GUGUUACAAUUCCCAUCGCUCUAAUUGCAUUUUUGAAAGAAUUAUGCCCUAUUCAUACUUAAAUUUUUUGAGCAAUCUUCGUUUUCUUGAUGUUACUUUAGUACAAUAUAAGAUAAAGACUUGAAACUAAAAAUGUAUCUUUAUCAUCAUCAUCUGCAGGAGUGGUGACAAUCCCCAUAUCUCUGAUUUUUCUUGCAUAUACCAGACGGGGAUUUCUCGUAUAUUUACCAGUGCUGGAAAAAUGCUGUAAAUGACGUAUAACGAACUACAUAUAUGUAGAAGAUUUAUGUAGUAAUUUAUAUUUUAUUUUAAAAAUGGAAUAAAAAUUCAAUACCUUGACAAUUCCUAUUGGUUCCUGAUAGUAUAUUUCUCGGUUCAAAUCACGUUAUUUUAUCAAAAAUUCAUAACGUAACGCUGUAACUGAUAAAACAAAAGCGGAACUAAACACCCAGUAAACACCUGACGUCGUACCGACGUUGGUUAGACGUUGGAUUUUGGUCGCGACGUCGGCGACCUGAAUCCAACGUCUAACCAACGUCAUAUCCACGACGUCUAAUAGACGUCAGACUUAGACGUCUAGAAGACGUUGGAAUUAGGUUGGAUAGAAAGUCUGAUAAAUGUUUUUAGUUAUUAAACUAACUGGUAUAAUUUUGCUAGUAUAGUUUAAAGAUAUUUACUUGUUUGCCUGGACAUGCGCUUAUUAUUAAUAGUUCAUUCUCACAACAAACAUUAUAUUAAUUAUGUUACAAUAUCGCAUGGGAUUGUCUAUUUUCGGAGACGGAUUUUUUCACGAACUUUAAACUGUUCAAGAUAAAAAUGCAUUCUAAACACAUGUAUAAAUUAUUCUAAAUUCACAUAGAUCUUCUCUUCUACACAUGUUGUCUAUUAGUCACACAUUCGCGAGAUAAGCCUGCAUCGGUUUACACAGUCUUCCUGUAAUUUGAUAUUUAUAUUGGGAUAAGAUAGAGCAAGUUUAUAAAUACUUUACACAAAGGGAAGGAUCCGCAACGUGGAAAUGUUGGCGGAGUUGAAGAAUCAUACAAAAAUGACGAAACUUGAAAGUUUCAAUUACUGCAUUACUUUUUGGACUUAUUGUAUUAGACUUACGUCGCCAUAAUAUGAAAUAAAGAUGAUAAAAUACA